AACCCUCAGCUUCAGUCUGAGCUUUAAUGAACAUCUGCAUGAUCAGUCUAUUAAAUACAAGGAAAUAUGAUUUUCACUGAAAAAAUGCAAAAUACAGAGGAUAACAUUGUAGUCAAUGGUGAUAAAACACUUAAAAAAGGUAAAAA